UUAUGCUGGCAGUUGAAGAAAAUAUAAUUUGAUCAAACAUUAUUCAGCUUUAAAUAUUGUUCAGCUUUAAAGUUACUGUGCAACUGUGUAAUAAAAAUGUGUGCUCACGACUUUGGCCUUGAGAGCGAUAAGAAGCGAUCGCCUCAUCCUGCAGGCGAAAGAUAUCUGCAAGCGAAGAGACUAGAACACCCAAGGCCGAUUUCCUUUUAUGGAGUUGUUUUUCUGCUAAUGCAGCACUUUCCUCACAACCCCCUCCUGACAGCUGUUACUGCUUUCGUCGGGAACCGAGACUGCUUGCAGCCGACCCCUGGGCAGGGUGGUGCCUGGACUCUUUUCUCCUCAUCUGCAAUGACAGAUAAAGACAAAUGAUAAGACCCGAGGAGUUUUUCGAGCCAGGCUUCGACACGUCUCUGUGUUCCUUUGAAUGUUACUUAUUUUUGUGUGUUGACCCAUUUAAGAUGGGUCAAAAGGGGGAUUUGAAGAAAAUAUAAUUUGAUCAAACAUUAUUCAGCUUUAAAUAUUGUUCAGCUUUAAAGUUACUGUGCAACUGUGUAAUAAAAAUGUGUGCUCACGACUUUGGCCUUGAGAGCGAUAAGAAGCGAUCGCCUCAUCCUGCAGGCGAAAGAUAUCUGCAAGCGAAGAGACUAGAACACCCAAGGCCGAUUUCCUUUUAUGGAGUUGUUUUUCUGCUAAUGCAGCACUUUCCUCACAACCCCCUCCUGUAAGUUUUAGAGAAUAUAUACCCAUCCUCACAGCAAAUAUGAGGAAUCUCCUGAUGUGAGCUGUGUUGAGAGGUUGUCUCUGUCUCAAUAAAAGUUCACUGAUUCCCCCAUCUGCUGCAGGUGUCCGGUUGUCUUCAUUCUCCGCCAGCCUGGUUAAGUCAAUUCCUCCUUAACAUCUAAAAGAACCUAUUUAAUGAAGGAAGACGGGUUCACUUUGUGUUUAAUAUUAUUCUAUUGCUGUUGUUUUUUUUUAUAUCCUUCACAGUA
ensembl:lncRNA